rnacentral:rRNA from 1 species
AUGCUGCCCUUCUGCUCCUCCGCCGCGCCCACCCCAUGCUCCCCGCUCUGCCCGGUGACCGCCGGCGCGCGGGCGCUGCGGAGGGUCGAGGCUGGCGCGCUCAGGCCCUUCGCCGCCGACCCGCUCGUCGCGCAGGCCGUGCCUGACCGCCCGCUCUUCUCCGACUCCGCCAUCCUCUCCCCCUACGCCACCGCGCCGGACGCAAUCGUGCGGGGGUUCGCCUCCGCCGCCGAGCUGCCCGACCCUCUCUGGCGCGCCGGGGUCGACCCGCCGCUGAUGCCCGUCGACCUGGCCGCGGACGCUGUGGUCGGCGCGGUCACCGACGAUGCCGCGCAGCAGGCCCUGAUGGACGCGGAGAUGCCCACCACGUUCCCGGCCGACGCCACCGGCGUCGAGGAGUCCGUGGCCAGGUUCAUCGACAAGCUCAGCAAGCAGAUAUUCCAGGCGGAGGACGCGCUCACCGAAGGGUACGACAAGCUCAGGCUGUCGGCGUACGACGCUCUUGGGGCCUACAGGAAGGCGAUAAGGGGCGUCGCUGGUGGCAUCACGUCCUCGGUGGCUGCCACCAAGAAGCAGGCCGCCGGUGGGGUCCCGGACGUUUCCGGCGCAUUUGAAGAUAAGGUGGCCGGAGCUGGCGCCGUGGCGGCUGAUGUUCUUAGGAAGGCAAUUGUUGUAGCAGAGGAUUCACUGGGCAGUGCCACCACGUCCCUCGUAUACUACUAUGGCUCGGCCAAGUCGUCGUUGCCACCAAAUGUCAAAGAUUUGCUGAACUCAUCCGAGGAGAAAGCUAACAUAGUAUUGCGACCAAUUGGAGGUGCCCUUCAACAGGUAUACAUUAUCAUCGAAGGCAUCGAAAAGAAUGUUGGUUUGAACCCAAGUGACCCAAUUGUUCAAUUAGCAGUUUUGCUUGGAGGUUCAACAACAAUAGGGAUAUCUUACUGGCUCUUCGCAUAUGGCGGCUAUUCUGGAGAUUUGUCGCCUGAAUCGACAUUGGAGCUAUUGAAAAGUGAUGGCAAAGCCGUACUUAUUGAUGUUCGGCCUGAGGACUUGAGGGUGAAAGAUGGAAUUCCUGACCUACGCCGUGCAGCUAGAUCUAAAUAUGCAAGUGUUGCUUCGCCUGAGAUCAAAGGUCCAACAAAGAAGCUACUUAAAGGUGGAAGCGAAGUUGAUGAUGCUUUGGUUGCAGUUGUAAUCCGCAACUUGAAGUUAGUUAAGGGUGAUUCAAAGGUCGUCAUUAUGGAUGCUAAUGGAACCCGAUCAAAGUCCAUUGCUAGGCUACUGAAGAAGCUCGGUGUGCAGCAACCUUACCUGGUUAAAGGUGGUUUCCAAUCUUGGGCAAAGAAUCUUCGCGUGAAAGAACUGAAACCUGAGACUGCAUUGACAGUAAUAAAUGAGGAUGCUGAGGAAAUCCUCGAAGGCAUAAAGCCCACCCCUACACUUGUCUUUGGAUCACUUCUGGGCCUCUCAGCAGCUACUUUUGCUUUGCUAGAAUGGGAGACGACUUUGCAGUACAUCGGUGUUCUUAGUCUUGGGUUGACGAUCUACCUGCGGUUCUCUUCAUACGAGGGUUCGGAGGAUUUCCUGCAAGACCUAAAGCUGUUGCUGUCCCCAGUAAGAGUGGGCGCGGAAGCGUUCUCAUGGGCAGCUAAGAAGCUAGAGCCUAACAAGAUUGGCCUGGCAACGUCCCCCUCCACAACGGCGGUGCAGGACCGAGUUCUCAAAGCUGCAGCGAAGCACGAAUCGAAGCCAUCUGAUGCGGAGGAGUCCACCAAGACAGACAGUUUUGCCUCCGAAGCAUGA